GUGUGCUCUUUGGAUCUGGUAAAGGAGGAUCUCAGUUGCUCCUGAUCACUCCUUUUAUAGCCAUCACUGUCUUGUUUCUUGUAACUCAGGUUAGGAUUUGGUCUCUCAUGCUCUACUGCAAAA